GGGCUCGCUUCAGCAACUCAUAUACUAAAAUUGGAGCAGUACAGAAAAGAUUACCAUGGUGCCCGGGCAAGGAUGACACACAAAUUUGUAAAAUGUUUCAUAAUAAA